GUGGGGAAUAUUGGACAAUGGGCGAAAGCCUGAUCCAGCCAUGCCGCGUGUGUGAAGAAGGUCUUCGGAUUGUAAAGCACUUUAAGUUGGGAGGAAGGGCAUUUACCUAAUACGUAAGUGUUUUGACGUUACCGACAGAAUAAGCACCGGCUAACUCUGUGCCAGCAGCCGCGGUAAUACAGAGGGUGCAAGCGUUAAUCGGAAUUACUGGGCGUAAAGCGCGCGUAGGUGGUUUGUUAAGUUGAAUGUGAAAUCCCCGGGCUCAACCUGGGAACUGCAUCCAAAACUGGCAAGCUAGAGUAUGGUAGAGGGUGGUGGAAUUUCCUGUGUAGCGGUGAAAUGCGUAGAUAUAGGAAGGAACACCAGUGGCGAAGGCGACCACCUGGACUGAUACUGACACUGAGGUGCGAAAGCGUGGGGAGCAAACAGGAUUAGAAACCCUAGUAGUCC
rnacentral:rRNA from 1 species